AAAAAGGCAAGGAAUGAGGCCAAAAAGUUACCAGUGCUCUCCACUACUUUUUAACACCCAGAGGAGUACUUCAAAGAAAGGAAGAGACAGAAAUUCCGAUUUAGAAGCAGUCUGGAAAAAGAUCAUUUCAUUCAACACAUGAGAAAAACAUAAAGGAAAAAUUACUAAUCUAUCCCCAUAAACAGCUACAGCUAAUCAGUGUCAGAAAUGGGGUCCCAAAAAAAGGAGACGUGCAUGGAGACAGCAGAAUCGGGACCAAUUUCCAAACAGAUACUGUGCCUUUCAAAAGAAACUUCUUCACUAACUGUAAGAGCUAACAAUUUUUCUUUCACAAUCAGUUACAUCCCACAAAUAACAAUCCAAAGGGGAAGAUCCAACAACUUACAGGUCUAACAACUUGUAUUGAUAGUAUUAACAGAGAAUUGUGCCUCUAAGAUGUCAAGGCAUCUAGAAUUAAUCAGGGUUGUCUCUGCCUCCAGUUGUGGCCUGUCCUUCAAAGGAGCUUUCCUUUCAGCCCCGUUAUCUAAGCUGCAACUUAUCUUCUCAAACACACACACACACUGAGCAGGAUGCCAGUGGAAAACCAGACAAAAGCCAGCUUCCUCAUUUGGCUUCAGAAAACACAAAUCACAGUUACCUCAGGACAUAGGAUAAAUUCUGAAGUCUGCCAAAUUAAAUUAUAUUCUUAUAAAACAGCCCAGAGGACCCUAUUCCUUGAAAAUAUUCAAAAUGUCACAGAUAUCAAGGAGAACUCCAUGUGCUGGGGAGUUACCAUAGGCUAAGUGCUGUACAUUCACUGUCACACUAAACCUCAGAGCUGUCACGUCACAUGGGGUGUGGUCCAUUUCACUGAGGAGGGAAACAGCUCAGAGUGGUUUAAGAACAGGACCAAAGCCACAAGAUUACCAAGUGAGAAAGCCAGAGAACGCAAGAGCACA